rnacentral:rRNA from 1 species
GAACCGUUAUAACCGGCGAUUUCCGAAUGGGGAAACCCAGUGUGAUUCGUCACACUAUCAUUAACUGAAUCCAUAGGUUAAUGAGGCGAACCGGGGGAACUGAAACAUCUAAGUACCCCGAGGAAAAGAAAUCAACCGAGAUUCCCCCAGUAGCGGCGAGCGAACGGGGAGCAGCCCAGAGCCUGAAUCAGUGUGUGUGUUAGUGGAAGCGUCUGGAAAGGCGCGCGAUACAGGGUGACAGCCCCGUACACAAAAAUGCACAUGCUGUGAGCUCGAUGAGUAGGGCGGGACACGUGGUAUCCUGUCUGAAUAUGGGGGGACCAUCCUCCAAGGCUAAAUACUCCUGACUGACCGAUAGUGAACCAGUACCGUGAGGGAAAGGCGAAAAGAACCCCGGCGAGGGGAGUGAAAAAGAACCUGAAACCGUGUACGUACAAGCAGUGGGAGCACAGAGCAAUCUGUGUGACUGCGUACCUUUUGUAUAAUGGGUCAGCGACUUAUAUUCUGUAGCAAGGUUAACCGAAUAGGGGAGCCGAAGGGAAACCGAGUCUUAACUGGGCGUUAAGUUGCAGGGUAUAGACCCGAAACCCGGUGAUCUAGCCAUGGGCAGGUUGAAGGUUGGGUAACACUAACUGGAGGACCGAACCGACUAAUGUUGAAAAAUUAGCGGAUGACUUGUGGCUGGGGGUGAAAGGCCAAUCAAACCGGGAGAUAGCUGGUUCUCCCCGAAAGCUAUUUAGGUAGCGCCUCGUGAAUUCAUCUCCGGGGGUAGAGCACUGUUUCGGCAAGGGGGUCAUCCCGACUUACCAACCCGAUGCAAACUGCGAAUACCGGAGAAUGUUAUCACGGGAGACACACGGCGGGUGCUAACGUCCGUCGUGAAGAGGGAAACAACCCAGACCGCCAGCUAAGGUCCCAAAGUCAUGGUUAAGUGGGAAACGAUGUGGGAAGGCCCAGACAGCCAGGAUGUUGGCUUAGAAGCAGCCAUCAUUUAAAGAAAGCGUAAUAGCUCACUGGUCGAGUCGGCCUGCGCGGAAGAUGUAACGGGGCUAAACCAUGCACCGAAGCUGCGGCAGCGACGCUGAUGCGUUGUUGGGUAGGGGAGCGUUCUGUAAGCCUGUGAAGGUGUGCUGUGAGGCAUGCUGGAGGUAUCAGAAGUGCGAAUGCUGACAUAAGUAACGAUAAAGCGGGUGAAAAGCCCGCUCGCCGGAAGACCAAGGGUUCCUGUCCAACGUUAAUCGGGGCAGGGUGAGUCGACCCCUAAGGCGAGGCCGAAAGGCGUAGUCGAUGGGAAACAGGUUAAUAUUCCUGUACUUGGUGUUACUGCGAAGGGGGGACGGAGAAGGCUAUGUUGGCCGGGCGACGGUUGUCCCGGUUUAAGCGUAUAGGCUGGUUUUCCAGGCAAAUCCGGAAAAUCAAGGCUGAGGCGUGAUGACGAGGCACUACGGUGCUGAAGCAACAAAUGCCCUGCUUCCAGGAAAAGCCUCUAAGCAUCAGGUAACAUCAAAUCGUACCCCAAACCGACACAGGUGGUCAGGUAGAGAAUACCAAGGCGCUUGAGAGAACUCGGGUGAAGGAACUAGGCAAAAUGGUGCCGUAACUUCGGGAGAAGGCACGCUGAUAUGUAGGUGAAGUCCCUCGCGGAUGGAGCUGAAAUCAGUCGAAGAUACCAGCUGGCUGCAACUGUUUAUUAAAAACACAGCACUGUGCAAACACGAAAGUGGACGUAUACGGUGUGACGCCUGCCCGGUGCCGGAAGGUUAAUUGAUGGGGUUAGCGCAAGCGAAGCUCUUGAUCGAAGCCCCGGUAAACGGCGGCCGUAACUAUAACGGUCCUAAGGUAGCGAAAUUCCUUGUCGGGUAAGUUCCGACCUGCACGAAUGGCGUAAUGAUGGCCAGGCUGUCUCCACCCGAGACUCAGUGAAAUUGAACUCGCUGUGAAGAUGCAGUGUACCCGCGGCAAGACGGAAAGACCCCGUGAACCUUUACUAUAGCUUGACACUGAACAUUGAGCCUUGAUGUGUAGGAUAGGUGGGAGGCUUUGAAGUGUGGACGCCAGUCUGCAUGGAGCCGACCUUGAAAUACCACCCUUUAAUGUUUGAUGUUCUAACGUUGACCCGU